CUUCUCUGUUUUUGAAAAAAAAACCCGCCUUGACACUCCACCGCUGCUUAAUUUACUCUGAUGCCUUCACCAUAGAUCACUUUAGCUUCUUACAACUCGAUUUACAACUCAUAACCUGGUGGACAUUCCCUAUAUGCUCUCUCAAAUCAUCUACUCAUCGGUCAGGUUUUUUUGUUGUGUGCUGUUCCUUUGACUGUCCAUUGGGUGACGAGCUACCAGAGAACCACCUAUACAGUGUGGUAGGAAAAAGUUCUCACAAACCUGGAUCCUCUGAUUUUGUUUUCCCAAUGGACCUCAUGAACUGUGAACCUUUAACUAAUUGAACUGAAGAGUUAAAUUUUUUUUUUUUUUGCUCUUUUGAAUUAUCCUGUUGGAAUAUAUUUGUUUUUUUUUUUUUUUUUUUUUCUUUGAAAUUAUAUUGAUUAUCACAUUUGUGUGUAUAUUCUAUUAAUUCAUAUCCAUAUAAAUUAUAUAAUAUAGCUCAUUAACAUGUAUAUGUAACCCAUACUCUUUCUAUUAGAAAAUAAAUAUACAACUAUUAAUCAUAAUUUUCUUUCUUGUGCUUAUUCACACCCCUUGACUCUUCAGCCGAAUCUACUUCUGAGCUCAUUUUGCAGUCAGCCAAGCCCAAGU